rnacentral:rRNA from 1 species
AUUGAACGCUGGCGGCAGGCUUAACACAUGCAAGUCGAACGGACUACUUCGGUAGUUAGUGGCGAACGGGUGAGUAAUGCCUAGGAAUCUGCCGCUUAGUGGGGGAUAACGUUCCGAAAGGAACGCUAAUACCGCAUACGUCCUACGGGAGAAAGAGGGGGAUCUUCGGACCUACUGCUAAACGAUGAGCCUAGGUCAGAUUAGCUAGUUGGUGAGGUAAAGGCUCACCAAGGCGACGAUCUGUAGCGGGUCCGAGAGGAUGAUCCGCCACACUGGAACUGAGACACGGUCCAGACUCCUACGGGAGGCAGCAGUGGGGAAUAUUGGACAAUGGGGGCAACCCUGAUCCAGCCAUGCCGCGUGUGUGAAGAAGGCCUUUUGGUUGUAAAGCACUUUAAGCGAGGAGGAGGGUACUCUAGCUAAUACCUAGAUGUAUCGGACGUUACUCGCAGAAUAAGCACCGGCUAACUCUGUGCCAGCAGCCGCCGUAA